rnacentral:rRNA from 1 species
UGACCGCUGGCGGCGUGCCUAAUACAUGCAAGUCGAGCGAACAGACGAGGAGCUUGCUCCUCUGACGUUAGCGGCGGACGGGUGAGUAACACGUGGAUAACCUACCUAUAAGACUGGGAUAACUUCGGGAAACCGGAGCUAAUACCGGAUAAUAUAUUGAACCGCAUGGUUCAAUAGUGAAAGACGGUUUUGCUGUCACUUAUAGAUGGAUCCGCGCCGCAUUAGCUAGUUGGUAAGGUAACGGCUUACCAAGGCAACGAUGCGUAGCCGACCUGAGAGGGUGAUCGGCCACACUUGAACUGAGACACGGUCCAGACUCCUACGGGAGGCAGCAGUAGGGAAUCUUCCGCAAUGGGCGAGAGCCUGACGGAGCAACGCCGCGUGAGUGAUGAAGGUCUUCGGAUCGUAAAACUCUGUUAUUAGGGAAGAACAAAUGUGUAAGUAACUAUGCACGUCUUGACGGUACCUAAUCAGAAAGCCACGGCUAACUACGUG